GCAAGUCGAGGGGUAACAGGAGUGCUUGCACUCGCUGACACCGGCGCACGGGUGAGUAACGCGUAUAGACGUUACCUUUUACAGAGGGAUCGCCUUUAGAAAUGAAGUUUAAUACCUCAUAGUAUUGAGACUUGCAUCGAGUUUCACUUAAAGAUUUAUCGGUAAAAGAUGGCUAUGCGUCCUAUUAGUUAGUUGGUAAGGUAACGGCUUACCAAGGCAGCGAUAGGUAGGGGUCCUGAGAGGGAGAUC
rnacentral:rRNA from 1 species